rnacentral:rRNA from 1 species
GACGAACGCUGGCGGCGUGCUUAACACAUGCAAGUCGAACGGAAAGGCCCUGCUUUUGUGGGGUGCUCGAGUGGCGAACGGGUGAGUAACACGUGAGUAACCUGCCCUUGACUUUGGGAUAACUUCAGGAAACUGGGGCUAAUACCGGAUAGGAGCUCCUGCUGCAUGGUGGGGGUUGGAAAGUUUCGGCGGUUGGGGAUGGACUCGCGGCUUAUCAGCUUGUUGGUGGGGUAGUGGCUUACCAAGGCUUUGACGGGUAGCCGGCCUGAGAGGGUGACAGGCCACAUUGGGACUGAGAUACGGCACAGACUCCUACGGGAGGCAGCAGUGGGGAAUAUUGCACAAUGGGCGGAAGCCUGAUGCAGCAACGCCGCGUGCGGGAUGACGGCCUUCGGGUUGUAAACCGCUUUCGCCUGUGACGAAGCGUGAGUGACGGUAAUGGGUAAAGAAGCACCGGCUAACUACGUG